rnacentral:misc_RNA from 1 species
CCGUCCUUCCUGAGGAUCCCUCAGCGGAAGGCCGGGGAGGGGUUUCUGGUGAUCGCCGCCACCGCGAACAACCGUCCGAUCACCGGCGUCGUCUUCAAGCCGUUCGAGGAGUUGAAGCUUGACAGCUCUCUCGCCGUCUUGCCGACGGCUCCUGAUGUCUCGCUCGCCCGCCACAAGUUCUGCUCUGAGUGCGAGGCCGCCAUCAACGAGCAGAUCAAUGUUGAGUACAAUGUCUCGUAUGUCUAUCACGCCUUGUAUGCUUACUUUGAUCGGGACAAUGUUGCGCUUAAAGGCCUUGCUAAAUUUUUCAAGGAGUCGAGCGAAGAGGAACGACAACAUGCUGAGAAAUUUAUGGAGUACCAGAACAAACGUGGUGGUAAGGUGAAGCUCCAGUCUAUCUUGUGCCCCCCUACUGAGUUCGACCACCCUGAGAAAGGAGAUGCGUUGCAUGCCAUGGAGUUGGCUCUUUCUCUUGAGAAACUGACGAAUGAGAAGCUUCUCAACUUACAUCGGAUUGCAGAUGGUUCCAAUGAUCCUCAGUUGGUGGAUUUUAUUGAGAGUGAGUUCCUCGGGGAGCAGGUUGAAGCGGUGAAGAAGAUCUCUGAGUAUGUUGCCCAACUCCGUAGGAUUGGCAAGGGACAUGGAGUGUGGCAUUUUGAUCAGACGCUUCUGUGAGGUAUCAAUGGUUUUGGAUAGUGUUAACAUUUGAGCUGGUUGUUGAUCCUAUCUCUGGUCUGUCUGCACGUCUUUUUGGAUAGUGUUUGUUGCUAGUUAACCUUGGAGGUUAGGGAUGUUAUAUCUCCCUAGUUUGUAUGCCACUAUGUAGUUGAUGAAUUUUAUCCACGUAGAAACUUAGUAUU